rnacentral:rRNA from 1 species
CGUAGGCGGCUGCGCAAGUCGAACGUGAAAUCCCUCGGCUCAACCGGGGAACUGCGUCCGAUACUGCGUGGCUCGAGUCCCGGAGAGGGUAGCGGAAUUCCCAGUGUAGCGGUGAAAUGCGUAGAUAUUGGGAGGAACACCAGUGGCGAAGGCGGCUACCUGGACGGGUACUGACGCUGAGGCGCGAAAGCUAGGGGAGCAAACA